rnacentral:rRNA from 1 species
UACGGGGGGAGCAAGCGUUGUUCGGAUUUAUUGGGCGUAAAGGGCGCGUAGGCGGUCAGCACAAGUCAGUUGUGAAAUCUCCGGGCUUAACUCGGAAAGGUCAACUGAUACUGUGCGACUAGAGUGCGGAAGGGGCAACUGGAAUUCUCGGUGUAGCGGUGAAAUGCGUAGAUAUCGGGAGGAACACCAAUUGCGAAGGCAGCUCGCUGGGACGUUACUGACGCUGAGACGCGAAAGCGUGGGGAGCGAACAGG